rnacentral:rRNA from 1 species
UACGAAGGGGGCUAGCGUUGUUCGGAAUCACUGGGCGUAAAGCGCACGCAGGCGGAUCGUUAAGUCAGGGGUGAAAUGCCGAGGCUCAACCUCGGAACUGCCUUUGAUACUGGCGAUCUUAGAGUCCGGGAGAGGUGAGUGGAACUCCGAGUGUAGAGGUGAAAUUCGUAGAUAUUCGGAAGAACACCAGUGGCGAAGGCGGCUCACUGGCCCGGUACUGACGCUCAGGUGCGAAAAGCGUGGGGAGCAAACA